rnacentral:lncRNA from 1 species
UAAGUAUUGUAAUGUCUCAUCACCCGCUGUGGUCCUUCAUCAUCUGGAAGACACACCAGCAGAGAAACAUCUGCUAACUUUGUUUGUUAUUGUAUAUUUCACUAUUUUUGGUAUAGUUUCCAUGGAUAUCCCCACCACCACCAUCACCAUUCAUCACAAAUAACUUGACAGAGGAGACUGGAUGCAUUUUAUUGUCUAUCAUUUUCUUCCAUUCAUUCCUUCCUGAUUGGUAUGGAUUUUACAGCUGGAUACCUUUCCUACAAGAAAGCUUUACAUCAUGGAUUGGGUACAGCAUAAAGCUGUCUCUCUAGGAGUUCAUAGUUUUGCAAGCUACAUGAAAAAAGCACCCAGUACACUCUGUAAAGUGUUUGUUAUUAGGAAGGGCAUCCAGUCGUAAAAACCAUGUUGAAGUAGAUGGGAACACUGAAAACCUUGGACUUUAAAAACCAAUAAUAAAAACUGUAAUCAUUGGAUGAACCAUAAUUUUAUGAAAAAAGAAUAUCCCAAGAAUACAGUAGAGAUGUGGCUGAAGUCUGUCAAGGCCAACUAUGAAAUGGAAGAAUGACCAACAAAGUUGGCUGUUGAGGUUAAGAACAUAGCUUGUGAAAAUGUGUAAUAUGAUAUCUAAGGUCACCAACCCAGCAAAUAAAUAUAACACAGAGCUUACUAAGCACAAUCUAAGUAAAUACAUCUUUGAAUAUAUCGUGUCACAACUCAGAGAAUUAACCAAUACUAGCAGUGAAAGAAAUAGUGUUUUUUUUUUUCUUUCUGCAUUCUACCAUGGAGG